rnacentral:tRNA from 1 species
UCCCAGGUAGCUCAGUUGGUAAAGAAUUUGCCUGGAGUGCAGGUGACCUGGGUUCGAUCCCUGGGUUGGGAA